rnacentral:misc_RNA from 1 species
UUCAACACCUAACCAACAUGUCUUAAACUUCAAAAAAAAGCAUAGAAAUGCUAAGAGAAGAAGAUUGAAGCACUAACUGUCAUCUUAAACUAGCCUGUAUAGCACAACAAACGAGAAAAGAAACCUGGAAUAUUUUAAUCAUACAUGUGAACUUUACAAGCUUUUCUAAUUGCCUAAUCCAUGAACUUAUCAGCAAUUUUUACUUCUCAAAGCUUCCAGUAUAUGCCCAAUCUGUGCAAUAUGCCUGCAACUACUGCCCAGAAUGUGAUUUGAGCAAAUAUCACAUAUAAGAGUGUCCCUAGCCUCUCAGAGUGCCAAACUUUGAUAAAGACAUGUUCUUGAAUCCAAUAGACAAGCGUGUUAUCUGGUGACUUGUAAUACCAUCCAUUGAUAAAUCCUUCAAAGAUACCUUGAGCAGCCAUCACAUAUACCAGCAUUGCAUUCAUUCCUAUCCAUUCCAGGAAUAAAAAUGGCGUGCGUAAUCCCCAAACAUCAAUCAGUAUAUAGAAUCCGGAGAAUACAAUUCCUGCUGCUCCUGCUGUGAAACAGACAUAGCUGAAGCUGUAGAGCUGCUUGUUGAUAGGAAUAGCAUCUGUAAAAUGAAGGAUGAUGGCUAUAAUAAGUAAGCCAAACCCCAUUGAGACCCACUGCUUCAGCCUCUCAGAGUGAUCCUUGAAAUGAAUCAAAACGUGACCAUAAUGGACGCCAAUGGUGCCAGAGAGGAUGGCAGAGAUUGUACUCAACAAGCCUUCAGGUUCAAAUGGAGCGCGGCACCAACUAGGAGCAUCCUCGCGAAGAGGGCCAGAACCUGGAGAACUAAGAGUGCAAGCCUUUAAGCGGCUCCAAACAGGGGAUUGAUACAGAUGAUUAAUGCCCCAGACCUCUCUAUCAACAUACCCAACAGCAUUGCACGCAGGUCCUAAAUGUCCCCUCAUCCCACAUUUGACCAUGUAUCUCUCCAGUUUAUGAUGGCUGUACACAUCAAAACUCCAAUCCGGAACAUAGAGUGCAUAUGUUGUGAUCAUAUAGAUGAGAAAAGCAACAAACCCUCCAAUCCAUUGCCACUGGUAUGCCGUGAAAAUGGUAAAAUGAUCGGGCUCCACCACAGAUUGUCUUUGCUUGAUGGUUAGCGUCUCUAUCAGUGCCACAAACAUGUAUACCAAUGCUAUCCUCUGGAGAAUGCCACACCAUCUAAUAAAUUUCAUGUUCACCCCAUAAGAGAGAUCCCCAGGUGCAUGUGAGUAUCCUCCUUGCAACAGAAUUCCCCAGAAUAGAAGCUUCAAUGUCCGUAUGAUUAUCUUCUUAACUGCAUCCCUCUUCUUGGGAAUUCUCUUGAAAGCCAGAGCAAUUGCAACCCCGACAAUGAAGAGGAAAAAAGGCAUCACAAAGUCGGCCAAUGUGCACCCAUUCCAUGGUGAAUGAUCUAUUCGUGGGUAUGCUUCCCCAGCAUUAUCCACCAAUAUCAUCAAUGCUACGGUAAGCCCUCUAAAAGCAUCCAAGGUUGCAACCCUCUUGGUCUUCUGCUUCACCAGUGGUUGCUGCUGCAGCUGCUUAUGAUCUCCUUUUUGUUCAACCACAACUACUGUAUUUGUUUCCUCUUUCUCAUGGUUGAUGCCAUCUCCACCUUUAGUUUUAUCCACUUUCUCGCUAAACUGCUCAUUCUGGUCUUUAUUUUCAUGACCUAACCCUUCUUCCAGUCUCUUAGGAUCCUCCAUAGCUUUGCUUUCUUUUCUGGGUUAUGAUUAACGGAUGAUAU